rnacentral:lncRNA from 1 species
GCGAUGUUUGUCUCGCCUGCCAGCAGCCCCCCAGUGGCCAAGCUCUGUGAACUAGUCCACCUGUGCGGAGGCCGGGUCAGCCAAGUCCCCCGCCAGGCCAGCAUCGUCAUCGGGCCCUACAGCGGAAAGAAGAAAGCCACAGUCAAGUAUCUGUCUGAGAAAUGGGUCUUAGAUUCCAUCACCCAGCACAAGGUCUGUGCCCCUGAAAACUACCUAUUGUCACAAUGACAGUGACCUCACUGGCCUGUGGUGACUGCACACAGCUCGCAAAACUGUCUUUGGAUGUUCAAAUGAGAAACAAAACUGUGAAGAGAAGGAACUGGCGUAUACAAGAUGACUUCUGAUAUCAUGUUUGCCAUGUGUUGUGGUUCUUAAGAACUCAUAGGUGACUUUCUGAUGACUGAAUGUCUGUUUCAGAGACGCUUCGGGCCUUUUUAUUUUUAUUUUAUUUUUUAUUUUUUGAGACGGAGUCCUGCCCUGUUUCCCAGGCUGGAGUGCAAUGGCACAAUCUCGGCUCACUGCAACCUCCACCUCCCAGGUUCAAGCGAUUCUGCUGCCUCAGCCUCCUGAGUAGCUGGGAUUACAGAUGUGUGCCACCAUGCCUGGCUAAUUUUUGUAGUUUUAGUAGAGACAGGGUUUCGCCAUGUUGGCCAGGCUGGUCUCAAACGCCUGAGCUCAGGUGAUCUGUCAGGCCUCUUCUAUAGAAUUCCAGUCUUUGUGUCUUAGUCAUGAUCAUAAUUGAAAGGUCACAGAACCUUUGUCAUUAGAGCACAGUACUGCCAAAUAAAGAAUGGAAAU